rnacentral:misc_RNA from 1 species
GAAAUGCGAUAAGUAAUGUGAAUUGCAGAAUUCAGUGAAUCAUCGAAUCUUUGAACGCACCUUGUGCUCCUUGGUAUUCCUUGGAGCAUGCCUGUUUGAGUAUCAUGAAAUCUUCAAAGUAAAUCUUUUGUUAACUCAAUUGGUUUCUACUUUGGUAUUGGAGGUCUUUGCAGCUUCACACCUGCUCCUCUUUGUUCAUUAGCUGGAUCUCAGUGUUAUGCUUGGUUCCACUCGGCGUGAUAAGUUAUCUAUCGCUGAGGACACUGUAAAAGGUGGCCAAGGUAAACGCAGAUGAACCGCUUCUAAUAGUCCAUUGACUUGGACAAUACUUUUAUGAUCUGAUCUCAAAUCAGGUAGGACUACCCGCUGAACUUAAGC